GCAAGUCUUCAAUUUAACAUUUACGCAAUCAAAUACCCUGACUGAAAAUGGAACCUACAACAACAUUGGCCAACAAAUACAAGUUGAUAUCACUGUAUUUGGAGAUUUCUCUGGUUAACUGACCUAGGUGAUACAGCUUUGAACUCAAAAGAGAGCUAGCAUCCAUUACCUUUCCCAUAUGCCUAUCGUGAUGGCUAGGAAGUAUAGAAUAAACUAUAAAUGGGAAGAAAAAACAGAGAUGCUAUAUGGAACCCUUGGGGGGGGAGGGGAGAAAUUUUUUGCCAUACCUCCAAACAAAUGGUUGUCAGAAAAUCUGCAAAAGAAUCAGUGACAAAUCCUGCAGAUGUUUCUUGUAAACCCAAAUGCAGCUUCCGACGAUGAAAGAAAAAAAAAAAUUGGGUACCCAGCUGGAGAUUCGUUGCAAGCUCCAAAGUUGAGCUCCCACGACACAACCUGGCCAAAGAAUACUUCAACUAGAUUUUUAGGCCCUGGGAGAACAAAUACAAGUCUUCAGAGUGUGCACAUGAAGGAGAGAAGAGCGAUGCUAAAGCAUACAUGGCAUCAGCUGUGAAGAAAUGCAAUUUACUAGGAAGCUCUAGCCUUUGCGACUUAUGGUUUGACAACCCACCACAUUAAUGUAAAACAAGUAAAUGUUUACAAGAAAGAAACACUUGCUUUAAUCCUACCCCCCCCCC
rnacentral:lncRNA from 1 species